rnacentral:rRNA from 1 species
UACGGAGGGUGCGAGCGUUAAUCGGAAUAACUGGGCGUAAAGGGCACGCAGGCGGYUAUUUAAGUGAGGUGUGAAAKCCCCGGGCUUAACCUGGGAAUUGCAUUUCAGACUGGGUARCUAGAGUACUUUAGGGAGGGGUAGAAUUCCACGUGUAGCGGUGAAAUGCGUAGAGAUGUGGAGGAAUACCGAAGGCGAAGGCAGCCCCUUGGGAAUGUACUGACGCUCAUGUGCGAAAGCGUGGGGAGCAAACAGGAUUAGAUACCCUGGUAGUCCACGCUGUAAACGCUGUCGAUUUGGGGAUUGGGCYUWRAGCUUGGUGCCCGWAGCUAACGUGAUAAAUCGACCGCCUGGGGAGUACGGCCGCAAGGUUAAAACUCAAAU